rnacentral:lncRNA from 1 species
GUAGAAAGUUGUGGAAGGAGACACAUUUGGGAGUGGGGUUGGGAAGGAGGAGACAGGCAGGGGGCAGGGAAAUUAGAGAAGGAUUGAAAAGGAAGCGUGGUAGAAUCCUGGGAGAAAAUGUAGACAGAGUCUCCCUGUGUGUGAAAAUUGACCAUGUACAUAGAAAUGCACCAAGUUGACAAGAUGUGGUUGCAUUGGCCAUUUUUAUCUUGACUUAUGUGAUUAUCUUGACAUAUUUUGGUAACAAUGAGUCCUUGGAUUCCCUGCCUCAUCCUGGGCAGGGUGGAGAGCCAGCCAGGGAAAGGUUACAGGACAAGAAAAACUUCAGGUGGAGACAACAGUAGAUUUCAGCCUCUGUGAGCACACGUGGCUGUGCAAGGGGUGGUGGUUAUCAAUGGCGGUCUCGCCCCUAAAGAGGUGCUUUGGGUGCACAAUGCUGAGAGGAGCGUGAUGUCGGCAUUUGGGGUGUGAGCUGAGGAUACUA